GACAUAGGUCGCAAACGUUAUCCGGAAUUAUUGGGCGUAAAGGAUGCGUAGAUGGUUCAGUAAGUUACUGGUGGGAAAUCGAGGUCCAACCUCGUGGAAGUCAGUAAUACUGUUGAACUUGAGUGCAGGAGAGGUUAACGGAACUUUAUGUGGAGCGGUAAAAUGCAUAGAUAUAUGAAAGAACAUCGAUAUGGCGAAGGCAGUUAACUAUUCUGUUACUGACAUUGAAGCAUGAAAGCGUGGGGAGCAAAACGG
rnacentral:rRNA from 1 species